AGGUGGGAGGCUUUGAAACCAGGACGCCAGUUUUGGCGGAGCCAUCCUUGGGAUACCACCCUUGUAGUACUGGGACUCUAACCAUAGGCCAUGAAUCUGGUCUUGGGACACUGUCAGGUGGGCAGUUUGACUGGGGCGGUCGCCUCCCAAAAGGUAACGGAGGCGCUCAAAGGUUCUCUCAGUACGGUCGGAAAUCGUACGUAGAGUGUAAAGGCAAAAGAGAGCUUGAUUGCAAGACAUACAGGUCGAGCAAGGAUGAAAAUCGGACUUAGUGAUCCGGUGGUUCUGCGUGGAAGGGCCAUCGCUCAACGGAUAAAAGCUACCCUGGGGAUAACAGGCUUAUCUCCCCCAAGAGUCCACAUCGACGGGGAGGUUUGGCACCUCGAUGUCGGCUCAUCACAUCCUGGGGCUGUAGUAGGUCCCAAGGGUUGGGCUGUUCGCCCAUUAAAGUGGUACGCGAGCUGGGUUCAGAACGUCGUGAGACAGUUCGGUCCCUAUCCGUCGCAGGCGUAGGAAAUUUGAGAAGACCUGUCCUUAGUACGAGAGGACCGGGAUGGACGUACCUCUGGUGUACCAGUUGUUCUGCCAAGGGCAUGGCUGGGUAGCUAUGU
rnacentral:rRNA from 1 species